CAUUCACUUCAACAACUCUAUAGUAACUGUUUUCAUUCAUAUUUUUCUUCUCUUUUUUUUUCUUUUCAUAAGGAGUAUGUAUUGACAUGUAUACAUCCUUCUAUUUUUUUUCAUUCAUUUUUUUUAUUUCUUUUUCUACCAACUUCUGAAAUAUUACAAACAUAAUUAUUCAACCCCAUACAACUUCAAACAAGACUCUUUCAACCCUUUGAAUAGGGUGAUAUAACAUUGUUUUUCACUUCUCGGUUUGUAAUGAGUUUU
rnacentral:lncRNA from 1 species